ensembl:lncRNA
CCGGACGCUAAAGCUUGGACUCUUUCCAAUGUACUACACUUCCUCGGUAGCAACUGAGUAACUGCUGAGUGUCUUGGCCCUUGACUAUUGAGGGUACACACGAGGGUACACACGUGACUGAUCACUCCCAGGCUUGACUGCUACAGAAACCGUUCGCCUACCACACAAGGUCGUCCCAUCCUUUUGGUUCUGGGAGUGUCUGCUUAAGUCAAUAUCUCCUUUCCCUUUUGAAAUUCUGUUUCAACUCUUGUUUUCAGCGCCGAAUGAUAGUUUUCUGAUCUGCUCCUUCCUCUCCUAGAUGCGGGAAAGGAGGGAGCGCCCAGCUACCCGGACUUUUGGAGCCCGAAGACCCUCUGAGAUACCUUGGAGCACACAAUUGUCCUUAUUGCCAGGUGACUCUGGUGUCUCCAAUAAAGGUCAAGAGACUGAGGCUCGGAGAAAUGGUUUCUCAAGACCAUCGAACAACUUUCAGUGUGUGGUUUCUGCAUGCCCAAAAGGAGAGGGUAAUUGUUAUACAUCUUCCCCCUCCAACCCUCCAACCUCCAACCUCAUCAUGGGCUUUCCGUGCCUGAUGCAAAGCAGGGGGACAAUGAAGAUGGGAAUCACAAUGGAUUUAACCUCCUGGCAUCCUUGUCAUCCUUUGGUCCAGACUCUCAGAACUUUAUAACUCAGUACUUGUACGUACAAAAGUGGUAAAAAAAAAAAUACUAAUGACAUCCAACAAGACGCAAAUUCCAAGCCAAACGUGAAAAUAAUGACUUCACUAUUAGUGUCAAUUGUUUCAAAUGACCUUUGGCUACAUGUUUGAGUUUUUGUUCUACUAGAAGACACAUGUAUUCAAUAACUAUUGGUCAAAUUAAUUGGUUACUGAAAUCCACAGUACUAAGUGGAGGGGGUUGACGUGAUGGGGGGGCAGAUUUGCCACUUGCUAACUGUGAGACACUCUUCUGUUCAAUGUUUCCUAAUCAUUUCUUCAUCUUAAAAAUAGAUCUAGUAUUGUCUAUUUCAUAGGCUUUAGUGAGGAGUAAAAAAUAAUAGCACAUGCAGAGGGCAUUGUGAAAUGUAGGGUACAUGGCAGGAACUCAAUUACCGUGGAUAUUUAUAAAACAUAUUUUCUGAAUUGUCUGAAUUACGUCUUACAGGAGAGAACAAAAGCACUCCAUUAAACGUAUUAAUGGCAGAGAUAUUUAAACAUAUUCCUACUGUAGCAAUAUAUGGGCAUAAUCUAAUGACUUAUUUUAGUUCUCAAAGAAAAUAUGACAUUUAAUUGUUUCUAAAAUAAUGGAAAGGAAAUUAAGUUAGGAGUUAAAAGGAGUUCUGGCUCUAUUAUUUAGCAUCUCUCUGACAUUGAGAAAGCCACUUAGAAUCUUUGAAAUUCAGUGUCCUCAUCAAUGAAAUGAGAUUAUCUACCCUCAUUACCUUCUAUAUACGUUGUUGAAAAUACCAAUUGAUUCCUGAAAGUGAAAGGUGAUUUUUUCCCCCUGUACUGUACUAUUGUAUCAAUCUACCUGGCUACCUAUGGGAGGAAAUGGGGUCUCCUUUGCCAAUCUUUGAAUCUCAAAUCCAGAACAGUUGACUCUAGCAGAUACUUCACGUCAAGAGAAAAGUGACAGAUUAUUUUGAAUACACUGCUUCUGCUGUAUUUUCCUCGGAAGCCUCUUGGGUUG